rnacentral:misc_RNA from 1 species
GAUGAAGAACGCAGCGAAAUGCGAUACUUGGUGUGAAUUGCAGAAUCCCGUGAACCAUCGAGUCUUUGAACGCAAGUUGCGCCCGAAGCCAUUAGGCCGAGGGCACGCCUGCCUGGGCGUCACACGUCGUUGCCCCCCCAUCUACUCCUUCGGGAUUGCGGGGGGCGGAUGAUGGCCUCCCGUGCGCCUCGUCGCGCGGUUGGCAUAAAUGCCAAGUCCUCGGCGACGCACGCCACGACAAUCGGUGGUUGCGAAACCUCGGUUGCCCGUCGUGUGCGGUCGUCGCGCAUCGAGGGCUCGAAAAAAUUGCCGGGCUCCGGCUCGGCUUUCAACGCGACCCCAGGUCAGGCGGGGUUACCCGCUGAAUUUAAGCAUAUCAUAAGUGGAGGA